UACAUGGGGUGCAAACGUUGCUCGGAAUUAUUGGGCGUAAAGCGCGCGUAGGCGGUUACUCAAGUCGGAUGUGAAAGCCCUCGGCUUAACUGAGGAAGUGCACCCGAAACUGAGUAGCUAGAGUACUAAAGAGGGUCGCGGAAUUCCCGGUGUAGAGGUGAAAUUCGUAGAUAUCUGGAGGAACACCGGUGGCGAAGGCGGCGUCCUGGACCAACACUGACACUGAUGAGCGAAAGCCAGGGGAGCAAACGGG
rnacentral:rRNA from 1 species